AACGCAUGUUGCGCCCGAGGCUCUGCCAAGGGCACGUCCGCUUGAGCGCCACAAACACCAGCCCCACCCCCUCCGGUUGUGCGGGGAAGGCAAGCCAUGCCAGUCCUUUAGAAAAGGGGCUAAAAACAAUCGGUAGCCAAAAGGGUUGUCAUGGUAUCGCCUGGGUGGAAAAUGUCCGUCGGCCCUCAAACCGUCGUCGGAUUAAAUCCGGUGCCUAGCGGGUGCAAGGACAGGAGCUUGGAAUAAAACCCAUCGCCUGCCCGGAGCCCACUACGCAGAUUAUCGAUGCGCAAGCAGAGACUUGCUUCCCGCUGGCCUCAAGUCGGGCGAGACUACCCGCUGAAUUUAA
rnacentral:misc_RNA from 1 species